rnacentral:misc_RNA from 1 species
GUGGUCACAAUUAUUUUUUAAUCACACAAUCACAAGGAAGACCCAAAGUAAAUAGAAUGACAAGCUAAAACUUUGAAAAAUGCACUAUCACCUGGUAUAAGCUAUCUCAGAAGGUUUUACUUUUCAAACAUGUAAAUCUUACAAUAAGUGACAUCAAAUAAAAUCUUUCUAGGAAAAGCUACUUUUGUUGCAACAUGGUCUCUAAAGAUCCAAAAUUGCAU